CCGCCGCCGCCGCCGCCGCUCCCGCUGCCGCUUCAGCGCCACACAUCGCCGGGACACCCGCGCCGGGCAGCCCCGCCAGGCGCCCGCUUGCCGGCGCUGUGCCCCGCCUGAGCUCCGGGCCGCCUCUCCUGCCGCCCGACUUCGUGUCCCCACGGCUCCACGCGCCCCUCGUCACGGUCAGCUGCGGUUUCCGAGCCGCCCCCGAACCAAGCAGUUGACUUGCAGGCGUCCGCCAAGGCCUCCCCAAGGUGGCGCCACACCCAGGAUAGGCCCCCGGGCCCUCCGCAGCUCUGGCGCCGAGUUGAUGAUGUAAAAGGUUCAGCCUCGCGGGGCGGAGCUAUUGGGCCUCAGCACCGGACUCUAGUGGCUGCGGGAGCGUUUCUCUUUUCUCCUAGCGGCGCGGACGAGAUUUGUGGCGCCAGAAACACCCUGCGGAAGGAGCCGGGGAUAUCGACUAGUGAUAGAGAAGAGGAAACUGAGGCCACGGGCGGGUCCUACGGUAGAUGCAAGUGCCAUGAGGACAGGGACAGACGUUUCAGUUGACCUGGUGCCACCGCGCACCACCUUAAGCCUAAGAAGCCGCAGAGAAGAUGGGAGAACGGGGGUGAGCUCAAAGCUCUGCCCUUUGCUGCUCGGUUCACGUGUAAUGGCACUGUUGCUGCUGCUCAUCAUCAAAGCUAAAAUACAGAAUCAUUUCUUGAAGCAACGUCAACUGGAAUAUCCCAUUACUGCUGACUGGUCAUAAAAUCCUUGUCUCCUCAAUGAGCUUGGUAAGGAGCCCCAGUCAUCCAUCUGCUUGCCCAAGAACAGCUGCACGGGCAUAUGCACUGGAGGGAAGUUUCAUCUGGAGGAGAGGGGGAAGGACAUCCCCAUCUGCUAUACCACACCCUGACCCAGGAGGAACUAAACCCGGCACCCCAAUUCUGGGAUGUGAGUAGUGGAUUCCAGAAGACCCUGGCUUGGGGAUCUCUACUACCUGGGUUGCGAGAGGCUGCUGGGAGGCACUUACCACACGGUGCCAGCCUGGAGGGCUUGGGACAGAUAAUUGGCCUUGUCCAAGUCCUUUGUGAAGACAGCUGCGGCCAGCCCGUA